AUUGAACGCUGGCGGCAGGCUUAACACAUGCAAGUCGAGCGGGGGAAGGUAGCUUGCUACCUAACCUAGCGGCGGACGGGUGAGUAAUGCUUAGGAAUCUGCCUAUUAGUGGGGGACAACAUUUCGAAAGGGAUGCUAAUACCGCAUACGCCCUAAGGGGGAAAGCAGGGGAUCUUCGGACCUUGCGCUAAUAGAUGAGCCUAAGUCGGAUUAGCUAGUUGGUGGGGUAAAGGCCUACCAAGGCGACGAUCUGUAGCGGGUCUGAGAGGAUGAUCCGCCACACUGGGACUGAGACACGGCCCAGACUCCUACGGGAGGCAGCAGUGGGGAAUAUUGGACAAUGGGGGGAACCCUGAUCCAGCCAUGCCGUGUGUGUGAAGAAGGCCUUUUGGUUGUAAAGCACUUUAAGCGAGGAGGAGGCUACCGAGAUUAAUACUCUUGGAUAGUGGACGUUACUCGCAGAAUAAGCACCGGCUAACUCUGUGCCAGCAGCCGCCGCGGUAA
rnacentral:rRNA from 1 species